AGAGUUUGAUCCUGGCUCAGGAUGAACGCUAGCGGCAGGCCUAAUACAUGCAAGUCGGACGGGAUCGGGGAGCUUGCUCCCCUUGAGAGUGGCGAACGGGUGCGUAACACGUAUGUAACCUACCUUCAUCUGGGGGAUAGCCUCUCGAAAGAGAGAUUAACACCGCAUAACAUCAGUGAGCGGCAUCGUUUACUGAUCAA
rnacentral:rRNA from 1 species